CCAACAACUCCGCCUGCAGCUCUUCGAGAGUUACUGCCGGUCCCAAGCCCGGGUAAAGGUGGAGAGUUGG
rnacentral:ribozyme from 2 species